rnacentral:rRNA from 1 species
AUGAACGCUAGCUACAGGCUUAACACAUGCAAGUCGAGGGGCAGCAUGGUCUUAGCUUGCUAAGGCCGAUGGCGACCGGCGCACGGGUGAGUAACACGUAUCCAACCUGCCGUCUACUCUUGGACAGCCUUCUGAAAGGAAGAUUAAUACAAGAUGGCAUCAUGAGUCCGCAUGUUCACAUGAUUAAAGGUAUUCCGGUAGACGAUGGGGAUGCGUUCCAUUAGAUAGUAGGCGGGGUAACGGCCCACCUAGUCUUCGAUGGAUAGGGGUUCUGAGAGGAAGGUCCCCCACAUUGGAACUGAGACACGGUCCAAACUCCUACGGGAGGCAGCAGUGAGGAAUAUUGGUCAAUGGGCGAGAGCCUGAACCAGCCAAGUAGCGUGAAGGAUGACUGCCCUAUGGGUUGUAAACUUCUUUUAUAAAGGAAUAAAGUCGGGUAUGGAUACCCGUUUGCAUGUACUUUAUGAAUAAGGAUCGGCUAACUCCGUGCCAGCAGCCGCGGUAAUACGGAGGAUCCGAGCGUUAUCCGGAUUUAUUGGGUUUAAAGGGAGCGUAGAUGGAUGUUUAAGUCAGUUGUGAAAGUUUGCGGCUCAACCGUAAAAUUGCAGUUGAUACUGGAUAUCUUGAGUGCAGUUGAGGCAGGCGGAAUUCGUGGUGUAGCGGUGAAAUGCUUAGAUAUCACGAAGAACUCCGAUUGCGAAGGCAGCCUGCUAAGCUGCAACUGACAUUGAGGCUCGAAAGUGUGGGUAUCAAACAGGAUUAGAUACCCUGGUAGUCCACACGGUAAACGAUGAAUACUCGCUGUUUGCGAUAUACUGCAAGCGGCCAAGCGAAAGCGUUAAGUAUUCCACCUGGGGAGUACGCCGGCAACGGUGAAACUCAAAGGAAUUGACGGGGGCCCGCACAAGCAGUGGAGUAUGUGGUUUAAUUCGAAGCAACGCGAAGAACCUUACCAGGGCUUGACAUAUAGAGGAAUAUGUUAGAGAUAAUAUAGCUCUUCGGAGUCUCUAUACAGGUGGUGCAUGGUUGUCGUCAGCUCGUGUCGUGAGAUGUUGGGUUAAGUCCCGCAACGAGCGCAACCCCUGUUUCUAGUUGCCAGCACAUAAUGGUGGGAACUCUAGAAAGACUGCCGGUGAUAAAUCGGAGGAAGGUGGGGAUGACGUCAAAUCAGCACGGCCCUUACGUCCGGGGCUACACACGUGUUACAAUGGGGGGUACAGAGGGCCGCUACCACGCGAGUGGAUGCCAAUCCCCAAAACCUCUCUCAGUUCGGACUGGAGUCUGCAACCCGACUCCACGAAGCUGGAUUCGCUAGUAAUCGCGCAUCAGCCACGGCGCGGUGAAUACGUUCCCGGGCCUUGUACACACCGCCCGUCAAGCCAUGGGAGCCGGGGGUACCUGAAGUGCGUAACCGCGAGGAGCGCCCUAGGGUAAAACUGGUGACUGGGGCU